CCCUAUAUUGCCUCAUACGGCCCCAUCGAAACCAUAUGGCCCUAUGGCCCUAUGUGGGUCUAUGGCCCUAUAUGGCCCUAUAUGGCCCUAUGUCCCUUUAUGUCCCCAAUGUCCUCAUAUGGCCCUAUAUGGCCCUACGUCCCUUUAUGUCCCCAAUGUCCCCAUAUGGCCCUAUAUGGCCCUACGUCCCUCUACGGCCCCAAUGUUCCCAUACGGCCCCAUUGUCCCCAUAUCCUCACUGUCCCCAUAUGACCUUAUAUGACCCCAUAUGGCCCCAUUUUCCCCCCCCAGGACUCAACCCCGGUGCCCAUCGACUGCCGGGAGCUGACAGUGGGGACAGACGUGGGGACAGACGUGGGGACAGACGUGGGGACAGACGUGGGGACAGACGUGGGG
rnacentral:lncRNA from 1 species